rnacentral:rRNA from 1 species
UACGAAGGGGGCAAGCGUUGUUCGGAAUUACUGGGCGUAAAGCGUGCGUAGGUGGUUCUUUAAGUCAGGUGUGAAAUCCCCGGGCUCAACCUGGGAACUGCAUUUGAUACUGAAGAGCUAGAGUGUGGUAGAGGAUAGUGGAAUUCCCGGUGUAGCGGUGAAAUGCGUAGAUAUCGGGAGGAACAUCAGUGGCGAAGGCGGCUAUCUGGACCAACACUGACACUGAGGCACGAAAGCGUGGGUAGCAAACAGG